AGCAUGUCGACUUUCCUUCUACAGUUUAGAAAACAGGAAAAAAGUUGUCAAGAAAAUUAACACCAACUUGAGUUUAGAGCGUGGCAACCGGGCAAGAGAAUGAGGCAGGAAUUAGCACCAUGGACAGAGACGAGCCCAUCCAGAAUAAAGGUUUGCAAAGUCCCCUAGUGUUUUCUGUCCCUCCCAUGUAACAAACGGAAACUGCAAUUCUUGGGACAGACUUUAAGGAAGGCGCUGUCCUACUUCAUAGAAACACAUUCAUGUUGAAUUAGUCUGGCUUUUGCUAGGACUCGGCCUUGGUGACAAACCGCAUGUAUGGUUAGAGCCCCGAACUCGGGUCGCACCCUUCACUGUGUUUCUCUUCUCAUACACUCCCUGGCCCUAGUGAGCCUGCAUUUCAUCAGUGUUCAUGCAAAAUAAAUGCAAAUCCAGGUAGUCAUCGAAAAGUCUGCUAAAUCUACUCCAGAGUUUUUAAUCCUCGAAAUUCCCAGCGGGAAUCGCAACAAAACCGCCUACCCGCUCCCCCUCGCUCCCCCCCACCCCCAGUUCUUCCCUGGCUCCUUCCACGUACUGGCAAAGGGGCAAAGCCUUUUAUCCGAAGAUAAGUGACCUCCGAGACUAUUUUGCAAAGGACCCUUUAUAUUGCAAACACUUUCCAUCAGGGACAGUGCCAGAGGCGGCAGUGAGCAGGAUCACAAACAUCCUUCACUUUCUCUUUACAUUUUGUCUUUAAACUACUGUUCGAGGGAAAAACUGUAAAGACAGCACACUCGGCGAGAAUUCCCUUAAAACCUUAGGUUACUGCUCACACUUAAAAGAUAUGUGAACUGUUUAGUUAAAUGUUUAAAUUUUUUUCUAAAAUGUAAUCUAGUGUCGCGGUAAAUCUUUUGAGACCAGCUUAGAUUGUUCUCCCCACCGCUACACACACGCCUUCCCCCCCCACCCCGGGCAAAAUUUGUAUGAAGUUCAUUGUCCUUUAGGUGAUUUGACUGCAGAUAUGCAGAUUGAGACUAAGAUGUGUUGCACGUGCCCCAGAGUGUCUCGAAAAAUAUAUUUGCAGCUUCGGAUCGACGAUCAUUUAUAUAAAGCUUCCCACAAAUGUCCUCAGAUUUCUUUUCUUCCCCUCUUUUGCUCAGUAGCAACUUUUAGCAGGAUAAACUCAGGUCUUUGCUGAGCAUGCAAAGGGAGGUCUAGAUGACCAGGAGAGGGUUAGGUAAGAAAAACUGGAGGUGAGAAAAGGCAAAUCAGAGCUUUGUGUCCGUUUCUUUCAGGGAUGCUAACCGCUUUCCCUAAGCUUUCUCCUGGAGCCGAUACAUCUCAUGCAAAAUUAAUACAAGUAAUUAAAAAUACCAGUUUCCAAAGUUAAAGGAAACCAUCUGUCUCAGCUGGUGGCAAUCAGUCUUUCGGGCGGCCCCUUUACUGGGACCUGGGAAGAAACGGUUUCUCUGCUUCGGAGGCUCGGAGGCUCUUUCUUAUAUUGAAGAUUUAUGUUUCCACUUGUGUGCGAUGCACGUUUAAUUUGAAAUAAUAAAGCCGGGCUGAGAGACCAGUCAAUCAGAGCUAUCAACUGUUCUCCGUACGCUGCCCUGCCCCCACCUCCCUCUGGUUUCUAACCCUCUUUCCUUUCUUUACCCUCACCACUCUACCCUCCCCCUCCCUUUUCCUCCGUCCCCAGCUCACUCACACACUCGCACUUUCCCCCCACGUGUGUUCAGAUCAAACCCUUGCCCCAUAGAGCAAGUGACCGCAACGGGGCACGGUGACAAAGGCGGAGUUUGUAUCAGAAGAAGACUGAGGCCCGGGGAGACACGGCGGAUAGAGAAACAGCUGUCUUAUCAGCCCGCUGCAGAGAUGGAGAUGGCUCGAGAGGUCCUCAACAGAUAAUCACUUGAAUAGGCUUGCAAUGCGCCAAACUUCACGCUUGAUAAGGCCAACCCAAUGUAGAGAGCAGCCCGGAUCCUGCUCCAUUCUGUUUUAUCUGAGCUGUAAAUUAAGAAAUUGAAAUUCAGGUGGCAAAGGCAGCAGUCUGCUGAUAGACCGCUAAAGUAAACUGUCAUUAAAAUGCUUGCGGCAGGCAGAGAGGGGGCGCCUGGAAUGGGAUAUUGUUUUAUUUUUUAAUUGGGGGUGGGUGGGUGGUGGGGUGGCGAGCCAGGAGAGAAAAAGCCCACCGGUUUUUAAAAUUAUUUGGGGAGGGGAAAAUGAGAUUUAGCAAAGGGACACAGCAUCUUGAUCAUGAUUCUUAGUCGUAGAUUCCAUGCAUAAACAAUUUGAAAAGUAUAAAGUUGUGGGAAGUUUGGUGAAAGAGUAAGGAACAAUUUUAAAGCAAUCUGAUAGAAAAUAGAAUUCUGUCUUUAUCAGAACACGGGGCAAUGGGAGCUCUCUGAUGACAGUAUUAGAAACUAAUUCUAAAUGGAAUCUAAAGUUUUCCUUUUAUUGUAAGAAAAACAGAUCAACCGGAUACAGAGGAGUUACCAUAAACUGAGGUUAACUUGACCUUUUUAUUGAUGUGAUAGGGCCACCAGAGAGAUUCCAGGGUGAUUUUUAGAACAGCCUAAGAAAUUAUCGACCACAUAAGAGAAUCAUCUUAGCUACUUACAGGAAUAAGAGCUGUAUUUCACCCACUUCCCCUUUACCCAGAUUAUUACUAGGAGGUAAUUCAGAAAACUAAAAAAAUUCCACAUGUGUAUUUUGACACCACGUGGUUCCUACAGCACACUUUAUACCUACAGUCUUAUGUUUGCUUUUAUGGAUAGGAGGCGUGAAAUUCUAUGCAUUAUUUGAAUCAAUGUUUCACAAAAGUUUAAAAUGUAUAAUGACCAGAAUAUAGCCAGUGACCUUGCUGCCUAGAUUCACUAAUGACUGUGCACUGUACCUUGUUCUUUUUGUCACUGAGGAGAUUGUAAAUUCACUGGUGUGCAUUUAUGAGAGUGUAUGACAGGAUGCAUUUCAUUUUCCACAACAGCGUUUAUAUCUUAAGUUUUAGCAACAUUUCUGAAAAGAUACCUUCUGGUGAUAACACAAGUUAAUGCAGCUUUAGAAAAUCAAUCAUUUUUUACUUUGUUUAACCCCAAAACUUUAAUCAAUGUUAGGAUGCACUUAACUGAUACUAUUAAGGCUGCUUAAAUCACAGUGGGAUGUGGAAGAAUUAAAAAUGAAUUUGUCAGGAAAAGUAGUUAGAAAAAAUUAAGGUGUGAGUAUACAUUUCAGUACUUAUUAAACUAGAUGUAUUAGACUAUUGUUUUAAACUUUGCAUUUAUCUGAUUACUCAUAGGGAGAUGAGCAAAUAAAUAUAAAUAAAGGAAUCUCAAACACAUUUUUGUUCAAUUCUUUAUGCAAAAAAUCCAUCAUAUCUUCUAACCCAGAAAGCAGGUGUUGUUGUUGCUAAAUUCAAGUAUAUGGAUGAAUGAGUGCUGUAUGUAUUUCCUGAGAGAGAAAUUUAUGUUUAUGUAAGCUAAAUUUUCCCUUCUGUAUCACCAUUUUCCAUAAUGUGACAUUGGUUUAAAUAAUGGCUGCUAUAUAAGCAUUUUAAGAAAUAUUCUUUUAAAUUCCAGCCUUUCAGGCACUAUUAUCUUCAAAUAAUCAUACAACAAGAUAUUUUUCUGCUUGUUACAAAUACUCAAGUAAGUUUGAACUGCCAGCCUUAAUGAGUCUCUUAAGCUAUGUUUAAAAAUUUUUAUCUUAAUUAAAUUGAAAAUAUGCAUAUAAUGGAUAGCUUAAGCUAUUAUUUGCCAAAACAGGCAGGACUUUUUAAAGAUGAGAAUUUACAGAAGGGUUAAAGGGUGUACUCUCACUAAGUUUGAAAUGUGAUAAAAUGAUAUUUUAUAAAUGUACAUUAUAAUGUUUCACAACUAAAAAGAUAAUUUUAAAAGAAAUUUUUAAAAGAAAGAUAAUUUUAAAAAGAAAAUUACAUUACUGAACAGAAAAGUCUUUUAGCAUGAAUUAUAAAAAUCUCUCCUAAUUUUUGUCACAAAUAAAUAUAUAUGGCAUUAUGAAUGAUGAAAAAUAAUUUAAAAAUGUUUUAAAUGCCAAUUUUAUUUUUAAAGGGAUUCCCCAUUAAUUCUUCUCUGUGGGAAAUGGGAUAAUAGAUUUUUAAGGAAAACAUUCUUUUUAUGAUGUAUGAAGGUAAAAAUAUUGGAAACUUUAGAAAUAUGUAAAAUUUUUAAUAUUUUUGUUCAAAACUGAUUAUAAAUCUAUUACCAAAGAAAAAACUCAGACAACUAAUAGCAUCCUUACACAUAUAAUAUUUAUCUUCAGGUGAAGGUCAAUAUAACCAGUUCCUGUUUCUAAGUAUUUAUUCCUGAUCUUUGACAAAAGAACCAUUUUGGUUUGAUUCAAGCAUCUUUUAUAAGCCUAUAUUUGUACAAUAUCUCUUUACAAGUUUUUAAUGGUAGAGCCUGUCAAAAAUUAGUCCUUUAAAUAGAAAUUGUAAUGUUACUCUACCAUGAGCUACAGCUUUGCAAAUUGUUAAGAGUUUGGGUUUGUACUUCAGAUACAUAUCAAUUUGAACCUGACUCCAUCACUGUUAGUCCUUAGACAAUUAGCUUACUGUCUUCUAAGAGUUGAUUUCCUGAUCUGUACAAUGGUGAUAAUAAUGCUUAAUGUAGGAUUACUGUAAGGUCAAAUGUAAUUGUUGAGUGUAAAAUAUUCAAACUUCCUGGAAUAGAGGAAACAGUUGAUACAAGGUAACUAUGAUAAUGGUAACAAUACUGGUGACUUAGCACAUUUAUUUGAUGAAGCAAAAAUUAGAGUCCCUCCUUUUACAUACUAUUAAAUAUUUUCAUUUGCUGUUAUUAAUAUCCCAACUGAUAUACCCUAUAAUAAAUAUCUUCUCACCUUUCUAAUUGUAACCAAGUUUAAAAGGCCUCAAAAAACAUAAAAUCUUCUGUCUGCCCUCUCAUGUGGCUUCAAUAUAUUUCCCAAUACAAUUUCAUGCGCCCAUAAAAAGUUGUGGGUCUUCAAAAAGGAACUUAGUCUGAGAUCCCACUUGAUUGAUAUAAUAAUAAAAACACCUUAGAUUUUUAUAGUACCUUUUAUCACAAAAAGCUCAAUGCAUUUUUACAUAUUUAUCAUUGUAACCCAGAAGGUAAGGAAGGACAUAAAUUAUUUUUCAUUUUCAGGGGAAUAACAGAGGCAUUAGGAAUAUGAGUUACAUUUCUAAGAUUAAUAGGAAUAAAGAGCAGCUUUCCUGAAUGUCAGUCUUUCUACAAUGUGUUACUCACUUUGGCAUUUAUUAUGACCAUUGUUUAUUUAGGCUCAAAAUGUUAGUGUUUGCUAUUAAGUAUAAGUUAUAAUUCAGCUAAUUACUUGCUGAAAUCAAGUUGAAUCAAAUACAUACCAUCACAGUCUAAUCAAAUUAAAAUAUUUUGAUUUUAUGCCAAGAGACACUUUUAUUAUUGAAUUACAUAUAUGCAUAUAUUACCCAUCUUUAUUUACCAUUCUGUGUUAACGCUAAGGCAAGAAUUUAAAAGUUACUAGUCAUUUAUGGCCUUGGAAGAAAUCAGUUUCAAUCUCCUUAUCACUGGCCUUUCCCCAGGCUCAUUCCCUCUCUCCACAUUUUUAUAGGCUAUAAUAUUUAUUCAAUUUACAUAGGCUAACAGUACUUUCUGCUCAGUUUUCUAUUUCUUAGUUUGUCUGUGUUUGAUAAAUCUAUCAAAAUAAAUAUCCAAAGGAAUAUAGAGGUAGAAUAUAUAAAGGGCACAAGAGAAUAUGCUUUCUGUAAUAGUUUUUGUUUGUUUUGAAUGAAACAAAAUGGAGAAAUAAUGUCCACUUAACAUUGUAAAUAUGCUAUGGUUUAUAGUUUUGCAGUUCCUUCCUGGGCUAACGUCUCUGUGGAUUGAUACAGAUUCAGCUACAGAUGUGGACUUUCACUGAAUAAGUACAAUGGAAGGAACCAAAACUUUGCAGCCUGAUAAAAGAAUAAAUCUUAAACUUUUUGAUGUCUAACUUCAUAGAUUAUAAUGAAAAAAAGCAGACAUGACUUUUAUUUUAAACUUCAAUGAGCAUCUAUCUGUAUCCUAAAUGGAUUUUAUAAAUUUGGUAAGACUGAACCACACAAAGUCAAGUCCAGUCAUAUGACUGCCAGACUUACAGGUGGAAGUGCAAUUAGCACCAAGAAGAAACACACGUGCAUACACAGAACAGCCAGAGCUGCUCUUUAAUGCCACCUCACCAACCCCUUUUAAUCCUUCAUGUUGAUGUGGCUAAAGGGGAAAUCUGCUUCUCUGAUUGAGCAUAUGUAUGUGCAUUUUAAGGGAAUACUGAGAAUACUGUUACAAUAAAAAUAAUGUUCCGUUCCUUUGGUCACUGUCAUUCUGGUAUGAGAAAUUAGAGAAUAUGGUUGUUUGAAAUGUCAGUUUUUAUAAACAUGAGUUGGAAGAUCUAACAUAGAUGAAUGGUGUUACAGACUGUUUAAGCUGUUUGAGUAACAAAUAGACAUUUCCUUGAAUUAUUUUGACACGAUUUACUGUGAAAUUUCUUUUUUUCUUUUGCUGGCAUUUCUAGAUUUCUUGUGCAGACAAUAAAAAGGCAGGCCUUUCUUUUAUGUCGGUGCUCAUCAUUUAACUCAUACAGCACCGAUAUUUUCUAGAAUACAGAUAUUUCCUGGAUAUCAAACGAAUGCUAAAAGAAAGGUAUGUUUCCAUAUUAGCCACAUCAAAAGGACAAAUGAAGAUUUGAGCUUCUUUACAAAGUUUUAUAAGAGAGGAAAAUACAAACAUAUAUUGUGGUGCUUUAGUCCUUCAUUUUAAAAAAUCUUUAUAUACAUCAACCUUAUUGGGCUGUGUGCAUGUGUGUGUUCAGAAAAAAAUGCAAUGAGGUUCAGAGGAAAAAAAUAAGGCUUUGGUCAAGGAGAUCAGGCCAACUGUGGUGAAGGAAGUGGGCUGGAGAGCAAAGACACUGGGUUGGUUGGGUCACAUCACGGAGGGCUUUGAAAGCCAGCAGAGGAAAGGACUGCCAUAAAACUACUGGAUACAGGUUAUAUCUAUUGAUAGGUGUAAAUUUUGGACAUGAUAAGUGGAAAGAGAUGCAAAGGUACAGAAAUCAGAAUCAAGACACAUGGAGGGUUAAGAAGUUUUUUGUCUAAAACUCUAAGACCCCUUGGAAUGAGACAGCAAGGUCAGGGGAUAAACAGAGAUGGGAGAAGACUGUAAGUAUAGAAGAGGGGUUCACUGACGAUAAUGAAAACGUUUUGAUGGCCAAAAUAUUUAUAGCAUGCCCUGAGAAGGUGACAGUGUUCUAAACAAACAAUACUUUUAAGGAAAAAAAAAAACCAAAAACCCAAGACUGUCAGUGAGCAUGAGAAACCAGGAACCAGAGCCUACACUCUGAUGAUCUGUGAACGCCUCUAAGACACCUCUGUAUCCCAGAGGAGGCUUUAAAAACACUGCUAGGAGGGAUACAUUGAGCUAAGAAUCCUAGGCUGGGAGAAAGGAGCAUGGGUCUGAGUGUUAUUUCCCCCACUAACUAGCUGAUUCCCUUUCAGCAAAUCACUCUGGCUUGUUAUAAUGAUAAUGAGUAACAAGUAUUGAGUAUGUACUACAUGCCAGGCAGCAUUCCAAUGCUUUAUAUGCAUUAAAUCAUUUAAUCCUCACAAUAAUCCUGUCAUUUUAAAGAGGAGGAAACUGAGGAAAUUGAGUAAUUUGCCCAAUAUGGCACAACUAGAAACCAACAGAGGUGUGAUGUGACCCCAAGUAGUUCAUUUCUCUUUCUUUUCGGUUUAUUUAUUUAUUUUUUGCAGGGAGGGCUGAGAGAGAGGGAAAGAAUCCCAAGCAGGCUCCCGCUGUCAGCACAGAGCCCAACACAAAGGCUUGAUUUCAGUCAUGACCUAAGCAGAAAUCAACUGACUGAGCCUACCAGGGAUCCCCCAAGUAGUUCAUUUCUAUGGCCUAAGUCCUUAACCACUAUGUAUUAGAUGACCUCUACAGUACUUUCCAGAUGAAAAAUCCAGUAAUCCUAAAGAAAUAUAGCAGAAAUUAAAGAUGAUAUAACACUUGCAAAAAGAACAAGAGUACAGGGAAAAUGGAGACUACAAUGAACAUCAACAGACAAACUCUGUUUUCCUAAAAUGAAAUACUCAUACUCAAGUCUUGACAUGCCAUCUAUUGCUGACAAAUGGAAGAGAGAUAAAAGUGAUAUUUGGAUGAUUUGCUUCCUUAAAAUGAUUCAGGUAAAAUAUAAUAGGAUUUUAAGAAACAUAAUAUAUGAUGCCCUAGGAAGUCCUAGGGCAAAUUAAAAUUAAAAUAAUUUUAAUUAUUUAGUUUUGUAAAUUUUAGUUUUCAGAAGUCUAUUCCAUAAUCAUAGUAAACAGAAGCCAUUUAAAAGGAUAGUAUAUAUUUGUAAUUUAGUGAUAUGUAAAGAUUUUCAUGAAAUAUUGUUGAGAGUAUUCAAUAUCACAUAAAGAAUAGUCACUAGAACAUUAUACAGGGGUUAUUUUGAGGUAGUAAGAAUUGAACCUUUAGUUUUCUUAAUGUUUUCUGAAUUAUUUGGUUUGCAAAAAUUCUGAGCAUGCAUUCUUUUUUAUAAAGCAGGAAAAUGGGUAGAGCUCAAGCUUUGGCCCUGUAGUCAGUAGGUGGAAACUGGUGAUGAAGACCAGUAACCUCUUAAAAGACAAGUUAGAUUCACAGAGAGAACAGAUUAAUAGCCCUGGAGUUUAUAAACAAAAUAAUAUUCACACACAGAAACAAAUCUUGAGAUUUAAUACAUAUGAAAAAUACAUAUAUAAUACAGCAAGAUGAGAAAAAUUUUAAAAAUUGUUCUACCAGUUUCUUAGAAGAAUACAAUAUAAGAUAAUAACUAUCCUGCCCACUUAGAAUUGCCUAAUAUUAACUAUACUCAGUAAUAUCAACUAUUCCCUUUACUUAAUGCCUAUUUAUAUUAUGGCCAAGGGAUGUUCCUUCCAUUUAAUUAAUCAUUUCUUUUUCCCUAUUAUACCCUUUCCUGCAGUUGCUAGAGAAUCUCAUAAAACACACCUUUAUUCCCAACUAGCAAAGCCCUUAAAGUGAUUUGCUUGUAUUUCUAUGGCAUAUAAAUAAAUGAAAACCAUAACACAGUAAAUAAUUAUAAUGAGAUUGAACAAAAACUGGCUUCCUGACAGGUACCAUUUAGUGAAUUGCUGUUUCAAUGCCCUAAACAGUCACCUGAGUUAAUUCAAUUUUCAUAUUGUUUAAGAUUUGUCUUUAAAAUCACUCUGCAGAGAAUGGGAAACUGGCUCACAGUCUCAACUCUACAGGGUGGUACAGUCUGAACAUUCUCAUUUCUUUAAUUUUGCUGUUGAAAAACAUUCUAAUAUUAUGACCAAGAAUCAACAAACAGUAUUAUUUAAUUUUAAAGAAAUAUAGUGACCAAACUCAUAGUCUUGGUAGAACUGGAAAAGAAGAUACUAAGACAUAAUACCAAAUUAAGAUAAAUUUAUUUUUUAAUGUGAAUUCUUUAAAGUGGCUCUGCUACUGUCUUCCAAGCUCUAUAAGUUGUGAACAAUAUAUUAACUUUUAGAUAUGAAUUAUGACCAUUUUGAGAAAACGUUACUUGUCAUAAACAGAGGGCAUAAAGCGCCGCUGCCCUCGAUCAUGCACUCAUUUGACUCAUGGCGCAGUCUUGAAUAAUUUUAAACCAAACAUGACUGCGGCAAUCAAUUUUCGUCCAAUUUAUUGGGCAUGAGUUAAAGCCAAUUAAAAAACCAUUUUUGGUGCAAUUCAAGGGGAAAAUGUAUAAACCCAUGAAAAACAGAUUUCAGUCCUAGACAUGAGUCAUCACUAUUCUAAAUAAUGGUGUCAGCCCCAAAUCAGAAAGAACAAAUCCUAAAAUUGCAUAUUCCACACUGGAAAGAAACUGCAUUUCUCAGCAAUGAUUUUAUAUAGUUUUUAAUAUUUUUAAUAAGAAAUUAACCGGGAAGGAAAAGCAUGCUCUUCUAACAUUGUGUCAUUUCUGAAUAUUAUUUAGCCAUGAAAUUAAAAAGUAGUUUACAGCAUCUCCUGAGUUUCUGAAUUAAGACUUAAGGUAGAAAGUCAUCUGAAAUUUUCUACAAAGACAGCAAGACAUUUUACCUAUAAAGUAUCGUUUACCUUUGACCAUAUCUCCUUCCACACAUAUAUAGUAGCUCUCUUUUAAGGCCAUACAAUGAAAUAAUCCGUGUACACUCUGGAUAAUCUUAGGAUAAUCAAAGCAGCAAAACAGAAGCUUCUAGGUAGGAAAUUAUAGCUGUAAAAUACAGCCAUACAUUUUUAAUCUGUAUAUUUAAAAGGUCUUUUCAGGACUGUAGUGGUUCAUAGUAUUCAAGCUGACCUAGAUUCUGGUUCUGCCUCUCUCCUAUCUUUUUAUUUAUUUACUUAUUUAUUUUUAUGUUUAUUUUUGAGAGAGAGAGAGAGACAGACAGAAUGUGAGCUAGGGAGGGGCAGAGAGAGAGAGGGAGACACAGAAUCCAAAGCAGGCUCCAGGCUGUGAGCUGUCAGCACAGAGCCCAAUGCGGGGAUGGAACCCAUGAGCCACGAGAUCAUGACCUGAGCUGAAUUUGGGCACUUAACUGACAGAGCCAUCCAGGCGCCCCUCCCAAAACCUUGGUAUAUGAUGUGAAGCACGUUGGUUGACCUCUCAAAGCCUCAGAUUUCUCAUUGGUAAAAUGAGUACUAUAAGAAUAAUAGCCACCCUUUAUGGUUAUUGCGAGCCCUAAGUGAAAAAUUAUUUGCCAAGGGCUUAGGAGAAUGCCUGGCACAGAGUGAAUCUUCAGUGAAUGUUAGAAUUGGUAAGAGGAAAGCCUGGUGGUUCUCACACAUAGCUAUGGAUCGAUGCCUCGACCUCCCUGGGAGGUUUUUUUCUUUUAAAGCACAGAUGCCUGGUCUACAUCCCAGGAGAUGUUGCUCAGUAAUUUUGAAGUGAAGUCUAAGCAUAUGUGUUUAUACAACCCUCCGUGGAUGUUUAUGACAAACCACUGAUUUAAAUAAAAAACAGUACAACUUCUUCAGUUGCUCAGUUAACUUGGAGUUAAAGUCUGGCUUGAACUAUUUUGGUGCGGCGCUCUGUUGAGCAGAUUAAUUAGAAUAAUUGCCAAAUUUGUACCUUGUGUUAUGCUGAAAGGGAUGUAACCGGGAGACUUUUAAAACAUUUGAUUUACAUUCAGGGCACCUGGGUGGCUCAGGUAGGUUAAGCAUUCUACUUCAGCUCAGGUCAUGAUCUCAGGGCAGAUGAGUUUGAGUCCCACCUUGGGCUCUGUUCUGACAGCUCAGAGCCUGGAGCCUACCUUGGAUUGUGUCUCCAUCGUUCUGCCCCUCCCCUGCACACUCCUCUCUCAAAAAUAAAUUAACAUUAAAAAAAUUAAAAAGUAAAAGAUUUGACUUACAUUCAUAUGACUGUGAGGUCACAGAGUAAACAUGAUUUUUCAAAUUUCCUGUCACACUGAAGAAGAGACAUGUAAGAUGGCCCUGGGAAAUUGCAUUGGCAUGGAUAUAUUUUAGUGUUUACUAUAUAAGUUUUUAUUUUUUAUUUUAAAGCGAGAGAGUGUGAGCACAAGCAGGGGAGAGGGGUGGAGAGAGAGAGAGAGAGAGAGAGAGAGAGAGAAUCUUAAGCAGGCUCCAUGUUUGCCAUGGAGCCUGCUGUGUAACUGGAUCCCAUGACCCUGGCAUCAUAACCUGAGCCUAAAUCAAAAGUCUGAUGCUCAACCAAUUGUGCCACCCAGGUGCCCCUAUAGCUUGUAGCUUUUAUGUCUAUUUAAUAAAUAUAGGGAGAUAAGAUAAUUUUUUCAGUUACAUUUUCCUAUUGAGUUACUUCAUUUCUAACUGCCCUAUUUCAAAAUAAGCAGGCUCCUCAGUGAUAGAGAUCAAGGAGCACCAACAUGGUUAAGAAAAGCAUAAUUCACCAUAAUUGUUUGACAAAAAUGCAGACAUUUUCCUUGGGAGUACCUUUUAAAUAUUAACUGAAAAAAAAAGGACUCUCAAUAUCUUCCCAUUGGUGAAGAUUAAUUCAUUAGAUUAACAACCUGUCACGUUAGAAGGGAAAGAGGUAUUAUCCUACUAGACCUUGGGUUGUAACAACAUGAGGAAAGGGUUGGCACAGCCCUAGGGGAACAGAAGGUGGCCAUGUCCUAGAGGUAUCAAGAGAAGGUGAAGGAGACAUGAGAAAAAAAAUCACACAGGUUUUCACCAUUUUUUGCCUAGAGCAGCUCUAAGUGCAGCUGGUAUAUUCUCAGACUUGUGGCUUUUACAGGCCUUGUUGGUAGGAAAUCAGAGUUAUUUAUAUGCUGGUAUAACUCUACACAGGAAUCCAAGAAAAUUCUAAUACUGUCACCCUAAAAGAUUUUUUUUUUUAUUUAGAGAGUUUUUAGAGAGCAUGCCAUUGAUAUACAAUCUCACUGGAUCUAAGAAUGAAAAUUGCAUAGAUUGGGAAAAAAACUCCUUGUCUGGGAACAUUUUUAUUCUGACCCCUGGAGUUUAGAAAGGACUAGAGUUUAGAAAUUGCCUGAAACUUGCUGAACUAUUAUUAUGGAACAUGAAAAUGAAAAUCUGUAUAAAUAAAUAAAUAAAUAAAUAAAUCCUCCCAUUUUCUUUGUUUAUGAAUAUAAUGUUUUAUCCAAGUCUAGCCUUAGACAGUUGGUCUCUAAAACACGGCUCUUUGAAAUUUUAGAGGCGAGAACCCUUUCAGAAUUUUUCAUUUAACCAGCAGAGAAUUGCUUUCUCACAGCUGGAAGCUUCAACAGCUGUUGAUUCGGGGUACUUUCCUAUUCUUCCAGGUGACAGUUCAAGGACCCUCACUGCCAUCAUGACAGCCAGCAAUGUAUGUGGUCAGGAACAUGUUCCACUACAACCCAAUUCCAAAGUGACCUCUCCAUACACCCCCAAGGACCAGGGCACAGAUAACUCAGAGCCCCUGUGUUACCUGAAUGGGAAAGAUUUCUCUGUUGAGGAAAAUCAGCCUUCAUAAGAAUCUACUUUCUGACCCAUGGUCAGAUCACAAGGCUUAUUUAUAUGACCAUGAGGAUUCUUUGAAGGAUUUGAUAUUUGGAACCUAUCGAUAUUCCUUCCCCCACUUUUUUUUUUUUUUUUUUUACACGUUGUGUCGGAAAUGUCUCUUUCAUUUAGGAUGCAUUUGAGUCUUAGUGGAAAGCUACAUAGCUAAGUUCAUUUUUAACUUUCAGGAAGAACAAGCAAAAAGAGUAUUUCAGCAUAGCUGCCAUUGCAGUACUAUUUAUUGUAUCCACUAGAGGACUCCUUUCAGAAUGGCUCAAAAUAUCUCCCCUCUCAUUCUCCGUGGCCUCUGGCAUUUGAUGCUCAACUAACUCUUGAGUUGGGCCACUGGCUACAUAUCAGUGUUAGAAUGAAAACAUUCCCCCUACUUUACACCUCCUGCUAGUUCAAUAAAGUGAUGUUUAAAUAACUGAACUGGCUUCAAUGAACUGUAUUUGCCAUUUUUUCCUGCUUCUUAGCUAGAUAAAAUGGAGAUAAUUAUGAAGUGGAUGAGCAGGUUUAAUGAAAGCCAGUUUCUUUUGGUAUACUCCUGAAGCAGCAAUCAUCAUCUGUUUGGCUUUUGAAGAGCAACAAUUAUAAUCACUUAAACCCCCAAGGGGAACAAAAAUAGAAUUUACAUUAGCAUAUAAAAUAUACAGCUGGAUUGGGCAAGCCUAUAAAAUUCUGGGGAAAUCAUUCUAAUCUGAAUGCUAUUCAAACUCACAAGUAAAAUGAGUUCAAGAGUAUUUUACAUGCUUCCUUCCUAUAAAAUAAUACAUAUAACAAUAUUGAGAGGAUUUUCCUAAAAAUGAACACAAGGAAAUAAAAAAUUGUUGCCAGGAGAGAAUCCCAGGGAGAAUGGGAUAAACUGCAUUGUCAAGAUAUCAGAAAGCAAAAUGCAUAAUGCUGUUCACAUGAAGUCCUAAUCUGAAGUGCAGAUUUUUCAUGCAGUUGGGAGUUUAAGAAAAAUAGGGUGGUUUUAGUCUGAUCAAUGAUGAAACUUAAUCAUAAGUAAAGAAAAUUUCAGAUUAAUAGUACUUCCCUCCUCUGUUGUAAAUGUGAAAGCCACACAAAGAAAAGUGAAAUCACUUAAGUUGAUACCCUAUUGUUAUAAAGCAGAACUCUUUUCUUUCUAUGAUAAAACAUUUUCAUAUCAUUGCCUCUCAAAUAACCUCUUUCUUACACCUCCCUUUCUAAUUCUAGCCCAGAUCACAGGCAGAUUACAGGCAAUCUCCCUCACCAUUUAUGGUAUUUAAUUACUUUUGCUUUUAUGUGCCUUUCACGGUUUGCAAUAUACUUCUUUUUUUUUUUUUUUCAUUUGGUAGAACAUGGAAGAAUAAAAAUGGAGCCUGUGCUUUAUCCAUUAUGCUACUAGCAACAAAACACUAACAUAAUCAAUAUAUUAAAGGCUUGCCUGGCUAUGCACAUUUGUCAAAGGCAGUGUAUCUGAGAAAUUACACUAAUGAAUCUUAAAAAUUCAGCAUCCGACACAGAAAACUUGCUCUCCCUCAUCUUAAGUACAUAUCCAAAUGUAGAAACUAGAAUAAUAUAUACUGCACCUUUAUAUUAUUUGAAGAUCCACUCUUACAUUUUUUAAUGAAAAAAAAAAAAAAAGUCAGUGUGCGAAACUUCACCUCCACUGAGAAGCACUUCCUGAAUACCCUCACGAAAGCCAACGGCAGGCAAAUUGGUGAUAGCUCCCUCUGUGCUCCUAAAAGCACUUUGUACAUACCUCGGAUAGCAAUGAUCUCACUCCAUUAUAACCAUUUGUUGACAUGUCUGUCUCCUACACUGACUGCAAUGCUUGAUAGCAAAGCCAUCUUUCCCAGUGGGGUGUUCCCUGGCUCUAAAACACUGUGCCUAAAGCCUAGUAAGCAUACUGUAGUGUUUGUGAAGUAACAUAUACCGCUAAUUUGUCCUCUAAGACACACUAAAAUGUUAUGUUAUCUAUGAUAACUAACCGUAUUAAACACCACCUCUACCACAAUAUCAAAUUUAAUUUGAUAAAUUAAGCACGGAGAAAUUUGAAAUUCCAAAGUCUAGAUUUCUAUUGCGAUCUUCACUCUCAUAAUCCUUAACAAAGGAUGGUAGUGAUUUUUUAGAUUUAUUAAAUAUUUAAAAUGUGUCCCAUGGUGAAUGAUUUUGAUUGGAAACACCCAAAAAGCUGAGUUCUCAGUUCUUAACGGUAAUGACCUCAGGUUACAUAACUUUAUAUUUCUAUUUCAAAAAAAAAAAACAAACAAACCAUUAACACUGUCUUUUCAACCUCUAUCAAUGUCUGUCAGGUGUGGUGGUAUCUAGCUUGUAUUAUUUUUCCCUAUCCUGUAAACCCUUCAUGCUCCGAAAGGCUUUGAAAAUCUCUAACGUGCAACUUUCAUUUGAACACAAAAUGUAAUAAUUUCAGAUUUAAAAGAACCUAAAGGGAUUAUUGAGGUGCAAAUCUUGAAGGAUUCCAGAACCUAUGCAGGAACUAUCUUAAGGUCCCUCGAUUCUUUUCCUAAUUUAAACAUAGUCCAUACUUCCUAAUUUUUCAAGUGGAAACACCAUUUAUGAAGUUAUAGGGAAGCAACAGUGGAGACUCCACAGACCUAUCCUAAAAUACUCUUAGAUUUUUAGUUAAUAAUAAAUAUAGUUAAUGUUCUCAACAUUUCAUACAGUUCAGUUUUGGGGCGUUAAUUACCCCUUAAGUUUAAAACUGAAAAGCUACUUUAAUAAGUUUUCUCUUACACUUCAUACUAACAAAACCAUAACUUUUUGUAUACGUAUAUUUACACUUAUUUAUUAUCUGUAUAUAUAGACCCAUGCACUUUGAUGAAUUUGAGAAAAAAGAAAAUUGUCUUCUUAUAGUUCUAUUAUUUUAGUAUAUAAUAAUGUAAUGUAAACUUUCAAAUCAAGGAUAAAAUAGAGAGUUAUACAACUAUUUAUGAACUAUAAUAAAAACUGAGAAUGAAUUUUAUUUAAAAUGAGGCAAGUAACCAGAAUUAGUUUCUGGAGGGUGAAAAUCCAAGGGUUUGUCAAGGUUUGUUCUCCAAGGUCAAAGUGAAGUCAAGCUGAGUUAGAUGUGACCAACGACUAGAAUAUCGUGGGAUUGAAACACUCAAGCCCCACAGUUUUCCUGAUUCUAACAUGGUUCAUAAAGGUUGAAAAUUAUCAGACUUUUAAAAAAGCUACUGGAAUUCUCAUAGAAAGUGGGUUUAAACACAUAGUUUAGAACUAUGGAGCACCUGGCUGGCUCAGUCAGUAGGGUGUGUGACUCUUCAUCUUAGGGUUGUGAGUUUGAGCCAUGUUGGGUGUGGAGAUUACUUAAGAUAAAAAUCUUUAAAAAAAAUAAAAAUAGGGGCGCCUGGGUGGCUCAGUCGGUUAAGCACCCGACUUCGGCUCAGGUCAUGAUCUUGUGGUUCAUGAGUUUGAGCCCCGCGUCAGGCUCUGUGCUGACAGCUCAGAGCCUGGAGCCUGCUUGGAUUCUGUGUCUCCCUCUCUCUCUGGCCCUUCCCCUGUCAAGCUCUGUCUCUGUCUCUCUCUCUCAAAAAUAAAUAAACAUUAAAAAAUAAUAAUAAUAAAAAAUAAACAUGAUAGGUCCAGAUGAUUUCAUUUUAUAAAAAGUGACCCAAGGGGUGCCUGGAUGGCUUAGUCAGUUAAGUGUCUGACUUCAGCUCAGGUCAUGAUCUCACGGUCUGUGAGUCAAGCCCCACAUCGGGCUCUGUGCUGACAGCUCAGAGCCUGGAGCCUGCUUUGGAUUCUGUGUCUCCCUCUCUCUCUCUAUCCCUCCCCUGCUCAUGCUCUGUCUCCCUCUGUCUCAAAAAUAAAUAAACAUUAAAAAAAUUAAAAAAAAAAGUGACACAAAACAGAUUAACCAAAUUUUAAAAGUUUUUCACUUGACAAGAGUAUAGAUUCAAAUGCUCUUUUAACAUGUGAGGUCUGUGCAUUUUAAAGAAGCUAAUUAAAAACAAACAAAAAAAGGUUUACACAAACAACUUAGGAGCCCAUUUACUGCAUCACAUGCAGACAGUUAUUCUGAGUGCUUUCAUUUCUUCUCAGGUGAAAGUGAAAAAUUGAGUAGUUUUCUGCUGAAUGUAAAUGAUGUCCUUAAACAUUUCUUCACUGGUACUUAAGGGGACUUGAAUGGAUUAUCUCCAUAAAAUCUUAACAUCUCCAUUUGUACAGAUUCAAGGUCAUAAAUAAGCAAACUGGAGCAGAUACAAUAUCUAUGUCCCAAUCUUUCAGGUUCAAAAAACUUAUAAAUUAAAAAAGCACAAUCCAAGUGUUUUCAAGGGAAAUAGUUUAUUUUCUACUAUUUGAGAGUCUAUCAUCUUUCAUAUUUAAAAAGGAAUCAUAUGAUAGGAUCUCAUUUGAAAAUUCUCUUUUCUAUCUCACUUUCUAUCUUUAUGUCUCUUUAGUUAAUUAAAUGAAGGCAGUUUAAAAAUUCACAAAAUUACAGAAGUUAAUUGAUUAUAGGUUUAUCAAGGGAAACUAACUUAAAAAACACAUAUUAUGUCAAAAAAAAAAAAAGACUUCAAAUGAUUUGCCACCUAUCAAAUCACAUAACGUUUCAUUACUUAGGCAAAUGCUAUUAUAAUCAAAAUUUUUAAGUCUUUAAAAUGAAAAAGAGCACUUAAGUUGGUAAAAUGGAAAAAAAAAAAGUCACUCUGCUUAUUUUAAGUCCCCAUUUAAGGAAAACUGGGUUUGCAGUUAGGUCUUUUUAGUAAGUGGGCUUUGUUGGUACUUAUUUGAAAAUACUUUUGUCACUAUAAUUGAUUUAAUCUUCCUCUCCUUCUGUUUGUUUUUGGGGUGGGAUCGAGAAUGCAAUAAAUUCUUCAUAAUUAUUGUCCCAAGAGAGAAACAACCAGCCAAAUUAGCUUAAUGUAACCAAACCCAACUUGAGAAAAUAAUUAGGAAAGUUUCAGUAAGAUUUAUUUCUUCAAAACUGUUUUAUCAAAGAAAGUGCCAAGAUUAACAGGUAAUCAUUCCUAUCCUCGGAAUUCGUGGAGAUUAUGUGGGUUUUCUGUAAAGUGUCUCUUUAAAUUUAGAAAAUGAUCUCACGUUUUCUAUGAUUUGAUUUUCAUUUUGUUUGAUUUUGGACCCAAGUUUAGAUAGAUUUUGAUUCAAAUGCUCAUUAAACUGUCUGACCUUCCUCUCCUUAGUUGCUAGGCAUAAUAAAACCUAACACCUACAGUGUUUUGAAGAUUAACUGAGAUAAUAUAUGUAAAGCACUCACGUAGAUGAGUGAAUUCAUGCCUGGAUCAUGGCAAGUAGACAACAAAUGUUAACUAUUUAAGGGAACUUCUUCACUGUUUUAGAUUGUGUGCUUGAUAAAAGAUACACAUGAAGUUUAAUACUAAUUAGAAGUAACAAAUGAAGGUUAUUUUUGAAUUUUUAAAAUCAUAACAUCACUUCAGCUAUUCCUCUUUUGCUUGUUUGCUUUGCAAGCACAUUUCAUGUCCUAGACAUGGUACGCAAAAUGCGCAACAGAAUGCUAGGUGACCCUGGCUACCACCCACCUACACUCCCUACGUCUAUGUCAUCUAUUUUGGUCCUUUAUUUAUGGUCUAUGUCAUCUAUUUUGGUCCUUUAUUUAUGAUACCUAUUUACAUAAAGUGAGUCGAUGUUAUGGGAAGCAAUGAAUAUUUCUAUGAGACUACUGCUUAGUUGAAAACACUUAGAAUUUGGUUCUUAUGAACUUUAUAAUCCUUCUGUUUUUUGUAAAAUUUACUCUAAUGGACUGAGAUUUAGGGAAAAUAUCAGAACACGGCCACUGCAUUUCUAAUGUGCAAAUGCCAUAUAAUUAGAACACUGAGGAAAGAAAUGAUAUUACAUUCUGAUAUAAAGAAUUCUUCAUAUUGAGAAUAUUUAGCAAACCUAAAAUUGCCACAGAAUUGUGGUAUUAAUGAGGGAAAGUGCCAGGAAAGAUGGCAUUAAAUAAUCUAAGUAUGCUUAUAAGAUAUUAAACUAUAGGCACUAGUAUUAUCAUUUAGACAACUUUCAAUUACCCAGCUUAUUUUAAAUAAUAAUUUCUAUGAAUAUCUUCAAGUGAAACAUUAUUUUCAGUGUGGAGAUAGAAAGUGAUAGUAAAGUUGAGGGCUUAUAUGAGAUUAUGACUAUUGUAAAAUAAUUCUGACUAAAAGUGUUUUUCCCAAAGUGUUAAAGUAACCUAAUUUUGCAUAUAUACAGGCCAUAAAUUUACUUGCAAAUAUUUGUACAGUAGUAGUAAAUGCUUACUUUGUUUAUAUUCUUCACAUAAAUACAGUUUAAGAUGUUUAUUAGAAAAAACAAGCAGUACUAGUAUAGAUCAAGAUUAAUCACAAAAUUAAAUAGGUAUGAUAAUUGAGUAGCAUGGUCCAAAACAAAUUAUAGUAAAAGCAACAGUGGUGAUCCAGAUGCAUAAGUUGUCACUUUCCUUCAAUAGUUACUGGCAAAUUACAUCAAGAGACAAAAAAAUAAGUCAGUUGUUAAAAAAAGUUAUUAAACUAUAUGCCCAAUAAAAUUCAAUAAUUUUGUUGCAAUAUGGAAUCAGUUUAAAAAGUUAUUUCCUGUUUUUCUAUGAUCAGAGGAAGUUUGUAAUAACUUAAAAAUAUUUUAGAAUAGAUCUUGAAAAAUGUAAGCAUUUGCAAUUAUAUCUGCAAACAUACAAAUGAUAAUUAAGAAUGAUUUCAACAAAACAUGAAUACAGUUACUCUCACGGGGCAUUUUUGUUGCCAUCCCAUCCUUCAAAUGAGAAAGCUUAAAGAAGGCCUGCCUCAUCAGAGAAUGUGUGGGUCCAUUCCAAAAUAGGGCAUCCUAGUCAUCUCCAUGACAACAGCCCUUGACAAAUUAAAAGGCAACCAGAUUCACAAACAGAAAAAGUUAAGACUACUGAGCACUGUUAGUGUUUGUUUGUUUGUUUGUUUGUUUAAGUCAGAGCUGGUCAAACAAUUUAGAAUUUUCCAGGAGACAGGUUGAGCCCUUUACCAAACUCAAACUGGUUAAGUAUACCACAAAUAUUAAGUUGGAUAGCUAGUCUCAGAAAGUGAACGAGAUAAGGGGGCAAAACUCAGAAAUCCUUCUCUAGAAUACACCUCCUAUUUUAAAAACAGGAAAAGGUUUUAGGAGAGGAGGUUGGGGAAGGACCCUUCAACAAAUCUGUACUCUUUAGUGUAAAAGGAGAGAGGGCAAGGAGAAGAGACAGGAGAAGUGAGAGGUGGAGUGGUAAGCAAUUCCUUUCUCCAGCUCAAACCUCUUUUUAAGACGUUACCAAAUGCAUUAUUUUAUUAUCCGUUAGUGUUUAGAAUUAUCUAAGAAUGAUGGCUUCUCAAGUUGCUACCUGAGAAGGUAUGAGGAUGACAGCAGGAGGUCUAACAGUGCAGGUGAGGGCACGAAGAUAGUUGUAGUGACUCAGGGUGACCCCCCCAUUGUUCCUUUUCUCCCUUUUAAGGAUUUGGAUCAGGAAUGACCCCGCUACUCUACUCGGCUGAGUUCAGGAAGUCAGAGCUGCAGGGUUCUUUUAAAAACCAGACAAUAACCCAGGUCCCUUUUCCUUCCUCCCCAGCACCUCAACCCUGCAGACUGCCAACUCUCACCCACUUUAAAUGCAUCAAGCCCAAAACCAUCCCAAGAGUAUCAACCAGAUAAAUGCAGAACAUGUCUAUUGACCAUAGUUAGAAAAAAAAAAAAACAAAAUUAGAACUACUGUUUUUUGUUUCACCACCCCCUCUUCCCAGCCCCCAGCCCUUUGUGUGUGAGGAUUCCCCUUCAAACCACCCACAGACCCAGCAUACAAGAAGAAAUGGUAAUUUUUGGUUUAAAAGUUCACUUACCACGGCAA
rnacentral:lncRNA from 1 species